AUUAAACGCCUCUAUUUCCACGCGAUUAAAACGCCGUUUUUCACGCCGUUUUAUUCGCCGCCAUUUUCGGCGCUAUAGUGGUUUACAUUAAAACGCUGCUUGUCAAAAACACCGCUUUUCAGGCGUUUUUUCCUUAUGUUCCCUACCAGUAAUAAAAUCCGGCAACACCCAACUUUUCAUGUGACAGUCAGCCAAAUCCAACCAACAUGGCAUUCUGAGCGUCUAGGGGUUUCUGGUGAUCUGCAGAGUGCUGGUGAAGGAAGAGGGAGCCAUCCAAGAUGGAGACUGCAGCAUUCUUCACCUCACACCCAGCUGUGGGACGCUAUCAAGGCAACCUGGCACACCUGCACCCACUUACUACCUGCAGGAGGAGACACAUACAGCAGGAGAGAACACAAGGCGGGAGCCACGGAGAAGGCCAGGCCGGGCCGUAACAAGCAGUCUUAUAGAUAAAUAUAGCAUUUGGUCCAAAUUAUGUAUUUCAAAAAGCAAGGUGUAAUUGUGUAACUACAAAUAAACUGUAAUACAUCUCA